rnacentral:rRNA from 1 species
ACUCAAAUGAAUUGACGGGGGCCCGCACAAGCGGUGGAGCAUGUGGUUUAAUUCGACGCAACGCGAAGAACCUUACCUGGGCUCGAACGGCCGGUUAACGGCGGUAGAAAUAUCGCUACUCCGCAAGGGGAUCCGGUCGAGGUGCUGCAUGGCUGUCGUCAGCUCGUGUCGUGAGAUGUUGGGUUAAGUCCCGCAACGAGCGCAACCCUUGUCCUGUGUUGCCAUCAUUUAGUUGGGCACUCUCAGGAGACCGCCAGCGAUAAGUUGGAGGAAGGUGGGGAUGACGUCAAGUCAUCAUGGCCUUUAUGUCCAGGGCUACACACGUGCUACAAUGGCCGGUACAAUGCGCAGCAAACCCGCGAGGGGGAGCAAAUCGCAAAAAACCGGUCUCAGUUCGGAUUGCAGGCUGCAACUCGCCUGCAUGAAGCUGGAAUCGCUAGUAAUGGCGCAUCAGCAUGGCGCCGUGAAUACGUUCCCGGGCCUUGCACACACCGCCCGU